CGGCAGACGUUUUUGGCAGCAAAAUAUCAUUAUCACUUCUUGAGCCCAAGCCAAAAUCUCCUUGCGGUCAAAACACAAUUCUUAAACUAAACAAUUAAAGAUUUGUGCAAGUGUUACAGCGCACAGCUUCGAGACUGCGAGCGUUCUCCUGCCAGUGUGAGGGAAGUUAACAAGCUGGGUGAUGGCUCAUAGGAAGGCAGUGCAGGGGCUGUCUCAAAACAAUCUGGUGAAAUGCCUUCCUUGGCAUUGCAAGGGACGGUCAAAAAU